rnacentral:rRNA from 1 species
CUUUUGGAGAGUAUGAUACCGGCUCAGGACGAACGCUGGCGGCGUGGAUUAGGCAUGCAAGUCGAACGAGAAUUGUAACUUCGGUUAUAAAGAGAGUGGCGAAAGGGUGAGUAACGCGUAGGUAAUUUGCCCUUGAGACUGGAAUAACAUCCCGAAAGGGUUGCUAAUACCGGAUAAUAUCUAUUAACCCACGGGUUUUUAGAUCAAAUGAAAGCUCUGCUUUCACUCAAGGAGAAACCUGCGUCCUAUUAGCUUGUUGGUAGGGUAGUGGCCUACCAAGGCGAUGAUGGGUAGCUGGUCUGAGAGGAUGGUCAGCCACAUUGGGACUGAGACACUGCCCAAACUCCUACGGGAGGCUGCAGUCGAGAAUAUUUCGCAAUGGGGGAAACCCUGACGAUGCGACGCCGCGUGGGGGAUGAAGGUCUUCGGAUUGUAAACUCCUGUUCUACAAGAAGAACGAGCAGUUGGUGAUAAGCCAGCUGCAGUGACUGUAUUGUAGCAGCAAGCCCCAGCUAACUACGUGCCAGCAGCUGCGGUAAUACGUAGGGGGCGAGCGUUGUCCGGAAUUACUGGGCGUAAAGCGCACGCAGGCGGCCAUAUAAGUCGGGUAUGAAAUUGCUUGGCUUAACCAAGCAACUGUAUUCGAUACUGCAUGGCUUGAGUACGAGAGAGGAAAGUGGAAUGUACAGUGUAGCGGUGAAAUGCGUAGAGAUUGUACAGAACACCGGUAGCGAAGGCAACUUUCUGGCUCGAUACUGACGCUGAGGUGCGAAAGUCUGGGGAGCGAACGGGAUUAGAUACCCCGGUAGUCCAGACCGUAAACGAUGGGUACUAAGUAUAGGGGAUACGACUCUUCUGUGCUGUAGCUAACGCAUUAAGUACCCCGCCUGGGGAGUACGGCCGCAAGGUUAAAACUCAAGGUAAUUGACGGGGGGCCGCACAAGCGGUGGAGCAUGUCGCUUAAUUCGAAGCAACGCGAAGAACCUUAUCCAGGGCUUG